AACGAUGUGGGAAGGCCCAGACAGCCAGGAUGUUGGCUUAGAAGCAGCCAUCAUUUAAAGAAAGCGUAAUAGCUCACUGGUCGAGUCGGCCUGCGCGGAAGAUGUAACGGGGCUAAACCAUGCACCGAAGCUGCGGCAGCGACGCUUAUGCGUUGUUGGGUAGGGGAGCGUUCUGUAAGCCUGUGAAGGUGUGCUGUGAGGCAUGCUGGAGGUAUCAGAAGUGCGAAUGCUGACAUAAGUAACGAUAAAGCGGGUGAAAAGCCCGCUCGCCGGAAGACCAAGGGUUCCUGUCCAACGUUAAUCGGGGCAGGGUGAGUCGACCCCUAAGGCGAGGCCGAAAGGCGUAGUCGAUGGGAAACAGGUUAAUAUUCCUGUACUUGGUGUUACUGCGAAGGGGGGACGGAGAAGGCUAUGUUGGCCGGGCGACGGUUGUCCCGGUUUAAGCGUGUAGGCUGGUUUUCCAGGCAAAUCCGGAAAAUCAAGGCUGAGGCGUGAUGACGAGGCACUACGGUGCUGAAGCAACAAAUGCCCUGCUUCCAGGAAAAGCCUCUAAGCAUCAGGUAACAUCAAAUCGUACCCCAAACCGACACAGGUGGUCAGGUAGAGAAUACCAAGGCGCUUGAGAGAACUCGGGUGAAGGAACUAGGCAAAAUGGUGCCGUAACUUCGGGAGAAGG
rnacentral:rRNA from 1 species